AGAGUUUGAUCAUGGCUCAGAUUGAACGCUGGCGGCAGGCCUAACACAUGCAAGUCGAACGGUAACAGGAAGCAGCUUGCUGCUUCGCUGACGAGUGGCGGACGGGUGAGUAAUGUCUGGGAAACUGCCUGAUGGAGGGGGAUAACUACUGGAAACGGUGGCUAAUACCGCAUAACGUCGCAAGACCAAAGAGGGGGACCUUCGGGCCUCUUGCCAUCAGAUGUGCCCAGAUGGGAUUAGCUUGUUGGUGAGGUAACGGCUCACCAAGGCGACGAUCCCUAGCUGGUCUGAGAGGAUGACCAGCCACACUGGAACUGAGACACGGUCCAGACUCCUACGGGAGGCAGCAGUGGGGAAUAUUGCACAAUGGGCGCAAGCCUGAUGCAGCCAUGCCGCGUGUAUGAAGAAGGCCUUCGGGUUGUAAAGUACUUUCAGCGGGGAGGAAGGUGUUGUGGUUAAUAACCGCAGCAAUUGACGUUACCCGCAGAAGAAGCACCGGCUAACUCCGUGCCAGCAGCCGCGGUAAUACGGAGGGUGCAAGCGUUAAUCGGAAUUACUGGGCGUAAAGCGCACGCAGGCGGUCUGUCAAGUCGGAUGUGAAAUCCCCGGGCUCAACCUGGGAACUGCAUUCGAAACUGGCAGGCUUGAGUCUUGUAGAGGGGGGUAGAAUUCCAGGUGUAGCGGUGAAAUGCGUAGAGAUCUGGAGGAAUACCGGUGGCGAAGGCGGCCCCCUGGACAAAGACUGACGCUCAGGUGCGAAAGCGUGGGGAGCAAACAGGAUUAGAUACCCUGGUAGUCCACGCCGUAAACGAUGUCUACUUGGAGGUUGUGCCCUUGAGGCGUGGCUUCCGGAGCUAACGCGUUAAGUAGACCGCCUGGGGAGUACGGCCGCAAGGUUAAAACUCAAAUGAAUUGACGGGGGCCCGCACAAGCGGUGGAGCAUGUGGUUUAAUUCGAUGCAACGCGAAGAACCUUACCUGGUCUUGACAUCCACAGAACUUUCCAGAGAUGGAUUGGUGCCUUCGGGAACUGUGAGACAGGUGCUGCAUGGCUGUCGUCAGCUCGUGUUGUGAAAUGUUGGGUUAAGUCCCGCAACGAGCGCAACCCUUAUCCUUUGUUGCCAGCGAUUAGGUCGGGAACUCAAAGGAGACUGCCAGUGAUAAACUGGAGGAAGGUGGGGAUGACGUCAAGUCAUCAUGGCCCUUACGACCAGGGCUACACACGUGCUACAAUGGCGCAUACAAAGAGAAGCGACCUCGCGAGAGCAAGCGGACCUCAUAAAGUGCGUCGUAGUCCGGAUUGGAGUCUGCAACUCGACUCCAUGAAGUCGGAAUCGCUAGUAAUCGUGGAUCAGAAUGCCACGGUGAAUACGUUCCCGGGCCUUGUACACACCGCCCGUCACACCAUGGGAGUGGGUUGCAAAAGAAGUAGGUAGCUUAACCUUCGGGAGGGCGCUUACCACUUUGUGAUUCAUGACUGGGGUGAAGUCGUAACAAGGUAACCGUAGGGGAACCUGCGGUUGGAUCACCUCCUUACCUUAAAGAA
rnacentral:rRNA from 1 species